GCCAGUCUGGCGUAGUGGUUUGAGUGCUGAACUGUGACAUUGGAGACCAGGGUUCAAUUGCCUGCUUGGCC